rnacentral:RNase_P_RNA from 1 species
UGUGCAAGUCAACUUGUCGCCCCGAUAGGUAUCGGGGAGGAAAGUCCGGGCAACAUAGAGCGCCAUACUUCCUAACGGGAAGGAUUUCUGUUGGUGACGACAGAAAGACAGCUAGUGCCACAGAAACAAACCGUCCCGAUAGCUAUCGGGAUAAGGGUGAAAAGGUGGGGUAAGAGCCCACCGUCCGAAUGGUGACAUUCGGGGCUAGGCAAACCUUAUGGGUUGAAAGAUCAAAUAGGCCCCGGGCAAAGAGCUGCUCGUUCGAUUUCUGCUUCGGCGGGAUUCCGGGGUGGGUAGAUCGAUGGACCCCGAUCGCGAGGUCGGGGCUAGAUAAAUGACAGGUAUCACUCAAUUCGUUGAGUGAAACAGAACCCGGCUUACAGACUUGCACUUUUU